CUCAGAAGAAACAGGUCGAAGAGAAACUCAUUUCUCUUCUUCUUCUUCGCCGUUCUUCGCUUUUUUUCUUCUCAACUUAUUCUUUUUUGUUGUUCUUCGCUUUUUUUUUUUUCAGUUCUCAAUAGCAUGAACUGAGAAAUCGUUCAUCUUAAUUAAGAAGAAAUCUGGAGAAGUAAAUGGAUAAGGAAGGUUUUACUAAGGUUGUGAUUUGAUUUUGGUUAGGGUUCUUAUUGAUUGAAGAACGACGAAUCAGUAAGAAAUAAAAUUAGGGUUUCUGAAGUUAGUAUUGAGUUUUUGCAAAAUCGAAGCAGGAAUUGGUGGAUUGAAUAACAGAAAGAGGAUAUGGUGGAUCUGUAUUAACUCGGGUUAUAAAGGCUAGGGUGAAUUAGAGGGAGGAAGUUAGGGUUUGAAAAUUGAUUUAAGUUUCGAUUUAGUGAUAGAUAAGAAGAAAUCAAAGACUGGGUUUGGUGGUUUGAGAUUUAAAUCGAUGUUUUGAACUUUGAUUAGAGAGAAGAAGGUAGUUUUGUUGCAUUUGAGCUGAGAUUUUUCAAGGUGAAGAGAUGGUAGUUUUGUCGUUGAUCUCUCGAUGGAAAAUAUGACGAGGACUUGGACAAUACAGGGUUGGUGGUGAAUCUAUGUGGUCUGAGCUCAAGAUAAGAUGGUGGUUGAAUAGUGUAGUGAAAGGAUAGGUGUUGAUUUCAGUUGAAAAGGUCUGAGUAUGGAGAUGCAGUGAUGUUGGUAUGCAGAAGCUGGCUUGAGAAUGUGUGCAGAUUUGUUGCAGGGAGAAUGGUUGUUGUAGUGGUAGCUGCAAUGGAAUAGAAAAUGGAGCCAAUGAUGCUGCAGGAUGAGUCAGUGUUGGUAGUUGUUGUGCAGGCAAGAAGCUACAGAAGGAGUUGGUGGUGAUUGAAUUUGGUUGAGGCUGAUGCUGUUGUUGGUUUGCAAGCAGCUGCUGCAGGAGAUUGAACUGGUGGGAAUGAAUGAGAAUGAUUGUUGCAGUGGAUAAUUUUCAAGGGUUUGGUGCUGCUGUUGGUAUUAGGCAAAUGGUGUUAGUGGAUGGUUAGAUGAGACUGAAAUGGUGUUGCAGCUACAGAAGGGUGCAAAUGAACUGAAGUUGGUGGUUAUUAUGAUGAAGUUGUUAUUGCAGUUGCAAGUGGUGGCUGCGUCAGGUGGUGUUGAGUAUGGUUGUGAAUUGCAAGUGUUAGCCAUGGUCACAAUGGCUGUGCGAAAGCUGUUCAAACUGGUAGAGCACCACAUACUGAUCACCGUAGGUCAUUGAAGAACUAGAAGGUCUUUCCCAUGAAGACUUGAAGGUCUUGCCCAUGAAGUCCUACAAUGGUACUUAUGUAGAAUGGAAGCAUGGUUCGCUGCAGAUGCAUGCAAGAUAUCAAUGAAAAACUGGGACCAGUUUCCACAUGAAGGACCUAUGUGUGAUCUUUUAUGGUAUGAUCCUGACCGUUGUGGGUGGGGAAUUUCUUCUUGGGAGCUGGCAGCUCCAAUAUAUGUACCGGUAGGAAGGAAACCGACACAAACUGCUCCUUAGAGGAACAAUGCUGAGGAAGAUGUGUUGGCUGCACUCUUGGUCCUGCCUCAGUUGGUGGUGGCCCCUCUCAAAUGGGCUCCACUCAUGUCUAUACAAUGUCACAGUUACCUGUGAAGAGGCCUUUUAGCCCUCUUUGCUCUGAUGGUUUUGCAUUUUUGCUACACAUAGAAUUAUUACUGCAAAAGACCAUGCUUCCACUGUCGUUACAACAUUAAUUGGUAGGUAUUGCAAUCAGUUCGAAAAAUAAUUCAUUAAAUGAAUAUUUGCUAAUGUGUUCCUUUUAGGUGGAUGAAGAAAGCUGUCGAAGCUGGAAAAGCUAAAAGUGCAAAUGGUACCCACCAGGAAGUCUAACUUACCUGUAAUUAUUUUAAACCUAUCUUAGUGUUCUUCUUUGUAUAGUAUUAUCGCCUUUUGCCUCCUUGUUUGUUUUUUAUAGCUGUCUUGCGCAAUUUAAAUAAAAUCUCUCGACAAAUCUUUCAGAAGACAAAUUCAUUUGAGCUUGGGAGAAUUAUAAAUAUUCAUACGCUGCAAGUCUGAAGAGCCUGGAUAAUUUUGUUCUCUCAGGAAAAAAUUUCUAAGCUAACUUAUUUGUGUUUUGAUUGCUGGUAUCUUUCGACCAAUAGGUUUUCAGGACAAAGUGCAUCUUAUGUUGCUGAUCUAGAGUAUAUGCUUACCUUGUAAGUAAAACUCCUUAUAAGGCCCUGAUUUUUCUUUGUCCUGACUCUCGCGAAAACUAUUAUUGUAUACUUAAAGAGUUUUGGACUGCUGAA